rnacentral:SRP_RNA from 2 species
CCAUACUAUCCGGGGAGUUAGCGGUGCCUUGAACCUGCAAUCCGCUAUAGCAGGGGUGAUAUGUCUUUUAAGGGCUAUAACUGUGCAGCUGCUCGUAUGCAAAUGCCGUUGAUGGAUGGGUCUUGCGCAAUCGGAAGUCGUGAAUCAUGUCAGGUGGGGAACCAAGCAGCAUUAAGCGAAUAUUUUGAUGUGCCGCAGGGUAGCCUGUUUUGAGGAAGUUCUUACGAUUCCGUGCAUAGUUGUAUGUUCGAAAUUGACUGUAUGG